rnacentral:rRNA from 1 species
UACCAGCACCCCGAGUGGUCGGGACGAUUAUUGGGCCUAAAGCAUCCGUAGCCGGUCAUGCAAGUCUUCCGUUAAAUCCAGCCGCUCAACGGUUGGGCCGCGGAGGAUACUACGUGGCUAGGAGGCGGGAGAGGCAAGCGGUACUCAGUGGGUAGGGGUAAAAUCCUUUGAUCCAUUGAAGACCACCAGUGGCGAAGGCGGCUUGCCAGAACGCGCUCGACGGUGAGGGAUGAAAGCUGGGGGAGCAAACCGG